CCUACGGGUGGCAGCAGUGAGGAAUAUUGGUCAAUGGGCGGAAGCCUGAACCAGCCAAGUAGCGUGCGGGAUGAAGGUUUUCGGAUUGUAAACUCCUUUUGUUAGAGAAGAUAAUGACGGUAUCUAACGAAUAAGCACCGGCUAACUCCGUGCCAGCAGCCGCGGUAAUACGGAGGGUGCAAGCGUUACUCGGAAUCACUGGGCGUAAAGAGCGCGUAGGCGGGAUAGCAAGUCAGAUGUGAAAUCCUAUGGCUUAACCAUAGAACUGCAUUUGAAACUGUUAUUCUAGAGUAUGGGAGAGGUAGGUGGAAUUCUUGGUGUAGGGGUAAAAUCCGUAGAGAUCAAGAGGAAUACUCAUUGCGAAGGCGACCUGCUAGAACAUAACUGACGCUGAUGCGCGAAAGCGUGGGGAGCAAACAGGAUUAGAUACCCUAGUAGUC
rnacentral:rRNA from 1 species